CAGGGCAGAGGUCCUAGCAGGGAAAAAGGAUAAACUGGAAUUUCCUUAAGAUCUGAAAGGCAGUAGCUGCAUUCAGAGAUCCAUAUAUAUGUUGUUGUCCCUUAGCAUCUGGCAUCUAAACAGCACUCCAUAGAGGUUUAUGGAUGUCUGCUGUCUGAAGAAAAAGUGAUCAGUUGGCUUGGGUUGGACUUGGGAGGGCUUGGAGUGAUAGGAAAAUAGUGAAUGUGAAAACUCUAUGAAAUGAAAGUUGAUUCAUUAAUUUACUUCAAAAGUAUUAAACAUUUACUAUGUGCUAGUGCUAUUCUAGAUGCUAGGAGGACACAUCAGUGGACAAAACAGACAAAAAUUCAUGACUUCAAAAAGUUUAUGUUUCAGAAAAGGAGCAGCCAAAGAACAGUAAAUUCUGUGAAUAAAAAUAAAAUACCAGAGGGGAAUCAAGGUUAUGAGGUAGAAAGGAUGCAACUAUCAAGGUCAGUGCAGGCGUCACUGAGAGGAAAGCAUUUGAACAAAGGCAGGCGGAUGGGGAGAGUGCUUUGCAGAUCCUUGGGGGAACUAUAUUGAUGGUGAAAAACAAAGCAGUGGAAAGUCCCUGAGGUUGGAGGAUGCUUGGUGUGAUCAAGGAGUGGUGUUGAGACCAGAGCCAGUUCAACACUGAAGUCCAAGUGUGUUUCUCAGACAACAUGCACCCGGACCCAGGGCACGAGCCUCCACAAGCACAUGUGUUCGACUGGCAAAGAAAUCUGCUCCCAUCCCAGAAGGUUUAAGUGGCCCAAGAAUCUUUCUGGACCACCUCCUUGGAGUCUCCCGCCCUCUCAAGGUCUCUGCUGUGGUGCCACCAAAGCGCUCCAGGAUCCAUAACUGGACCUUUCUCCCUGAAAUCCAGACAAAUGCCCUCUAGUGCCUGCUGGGCAUUUCCGAAAGGAUGCCCAUCUUCCGUGGGCAUAGGCCUGACCUUUGGCGAAGUGCAGUGCUAUGAAUGAAAGAUGAAAAUCGAAACCAAAUCAAUUCCGCCUACACUGUUUCACCUUCUCAUUCUGAAAUGCUUAUUUUUAAGAUCCAUAUAUCAGUAGAGAUGCUCCCUUGCGCACCACUUCCGGUCCUCAGCCCUUCUCAACUAAAAGGAGGGAUUUAUGAAUGCUGGCUUAUGAAGAGGUCAAGACUCAAGCACUCUUCAGACUCUAGCCUUGUCUUGAAGCCAGUCCUGGAAUGACUCAAAUCUUAGUCUCCAUUCUCACUCUGGCCUGGCCUCCACCCAGAUUUCCUCCACUGCCCAUCUUACAGCUCAGAUGGUUUUAGUUUACAUCCAGCUCCAACCUUCCACUAGCAUUCUGGCUCUGCCCCAACCGCAUCCAAUUUUCAUCCUACUCCGGAACUCGGUCCCGGGUCUUCGCCCCGCCCCUUGGGCCUCCCUAAGCCUCGCCCCGCCCCGUCCGGCCCCGCCUCCGCUCCAUGGCUCCUCCCCUCCCCCACCCCAGUUUCUGCAGGCAAGGGGCCACCAGCCC